CAGGAAGAAAGCUUGCUUUCUUUGCUGACGAGCGGCGGACGGGUGAGUAAUGCCUGGGAAAUUGCCCUGAUGUGGGGGAUAACCAUUGGAAACGAUGGCUAAUACCGCAUGAUGCCUACGGGCCAAAGAGGGGGACCUUCGGGCCUCUCGCGUCAGGAUAUGCCCAGGUGGGAUUAGCUAGUUGGUGAGGUAAUGGCUCACCAAGGCGACGAUCCCUAGCUGGUCUGAGAGGAUGAUCAGCCACACUGGAACUGAGACACGGUCCAGACUCCUACGGGAGGCAGCAGUGGGGAAUAUUGCACAAUGGGCGCAAGCCUGAUGCAGCCAUGCCGCGUGUAUGAAGAAGGCCUUCGGGUUGUAAAGUACUUUCAGUCGUGAGGAAGGGGGUAUCGUUAAUAGCGGUAUUCUUUGACGUUAGCGACAGAAGAAGCACCGGCUAACUCCGUGCCAGCAGCCGCGGUAAUACGGAGGGUGCGAGCGUUAAUCGGAAUUACUGGGCGUAAAGCGCAUGCAGGUGGUUUGUUAAGUCAGAUGUGAAAGCCCGGGGCUCAACCUCGGAGUUGCAUUUGAAACUGGCAGGCUAGAGUACUGUAGAGGGGGGUAGAAUUUCAGGUGUAGCGGUGAAAUGCGUAGAGAUCUGAAGGAAUACCGGUGGCGAAGGCGGCCCCCUGGACAGAUACUGACACUCAGAUGCGAAAGCGUGGGGAGCAAACAGGAUUAGAUACCCUGGUAGUCCACGCUGUAAACGAUGUCUACUUGGAGGUUGUGGCCUUGAGCCGUGGCUUUCGGAGCUAACGCGUUAAGUAGACCGCCUGGGGAGUACGGUCGCAAGAUUAAAACUCAAAUGAAUUGACGGGGGCCCGCACAAGCGGUGGAGCAUGUGGUUUAAUUCGAUGCAACGCGAAGAACCUUACCUACUCUUGACAUCUACAGGAUCCUGCGGAGACGCGGGAGUGCCUUCGGGAACUGUAAGACAGGUGCUGCAUGGCUGUCGUCAGCUCGUGUUGUGAAAUGUUGGGUUAAGUCCCGCAACGAGCGCAACCCUUAUCCUUGUUUGCC
rnacentral:rRNA from 1 species